UGUGCCUACGGGGCGCAGCAGUGAGGAAUAUUGGUCAAUGGCCGAGAGGCUGAACCAGCCAAGUCGCGUGAGGGAGGACGGCCCUACGGGUUGUAAACCUCUUUUGUCAGGGAGCAAGGGACAGGUCGUGACCUGUUGUGAGAGUACCUGAAGAAAAAGCAUCGGCUAACUCCGUGCCAGCAGCCGCGGUAAUACGGAGGAUGCGAGCGUUAUCCGGAUUUAUUGGGUUUAAAGGGUGCGCAGGCGGAGGCACAAGUCAGCGGUAAAAUCGCGGGGCUCAACCCCGCUCCGCCGUUGAAACUGUG
rnacentral:rRNA from 1 species